GGAAGAACGCAGCAGUAUCAGCGCACUCCAUCCCGGGGAUCUGAAUGCAUUGGUGGAGAGAACAGGGAAAUAAGAGUUCCAACCAGGUGGACUCUCAAUGUCUUGCAAGCGACACCUAGAAGCAGGUACAGGCAGGAGGCACAGCACCCUGCAACCUCCAGGGGCCUUUGUGCAAAUGUUCAUGUCCUAGAAGCACGUGGCGGAGCACGUCCUGGGAUCAAGGUGCCAUGGACUGGAAAAUGCAGCUCUGGACAUACAGGCUUGGCGGAGUUCCUGUGUGAAGACAAAACUCCCAGUACUCCAGAAACGUGGAGGCAGAAGAGCAGUGACAAGAAUGUCUGCAUAUGGAUGAAUCACAACACGAUCCUGGGAAUUUUUAAGAAAGGUAGGAAGGAGGACCUGGGGAACUGCAGGCCGGCUAGCCUCACCUCUGUGCCUGGGAAGAUCAUGGAGCAGAUCCACCUAGAAGCUACGUUAAGGCACAUACGAGACAAAGAG
ensembl:lncRNA